CAGCUUCCCAAGGCCCCUCCCCAGGGUUAGAGAAACGGAAACAGUUGCUUGGGAAGCAGGGGAGGUUCUGCCACACCCUGCUGCAGCCUGUGGGACUCUGGAAGGUUGCUUUCAUGAGCUACCUGAUACCACGCUGGGUUUUCAGCGAUACAAUUCCUUCGAGUCGGCUACACACCUAUAAGUGACCCCGAUACACUCACUGGUCCCCUAAGCUGGACUUGCACGCAGUAGGCUCUUUGGCCUGUCAUUGAUGUCCUACCUGAGUGCAGCCUCAGAGUCAAUGAGAAGACAGACUCUGCACUUGGCGUGCAUUCACCCCCAAGUGUAUGGAAGCCAUCUUGAAGCAGCUUCUCAAUUCUCCUGCCAUGUCUCUCUGUGUAAGUAUCUUGCCUUCUCUGAAUAUCAGCAGCACUACUCCUCUCCUUACCCCACCCCUACACACACCAUAGGCAAUAGGGCCAGGGAAGAUCCCAUAACAGUAU
rnacentral:lncRNA from 1 species